rnacentral:rRNA from 1 species
UACGUAGGGUGCGAGCGUUAAUCGGAAUUACUGGGCGUAAAGCGUGCGCAGGCGGUUUUGCAAGUCGGGUGUGAAAUCCCCGGGCUUAACCUGGGAAUGGCAUUUGGGACUGCAAGGCUGGAGUGCGGCAGAGGAGACUGGAAUUCCUGGUGUAGCAGUGAAAUGCGUAGAUAUCAGGAGGAACACCGAUGGCGAAGGCAGGUCUCUGGGCUGACACUGACGCUCAUGCACGAAAGCGUGGGGAGCAAACAGG